GACGAACGCUGGCGGCGUGCCUAAUACAUGCAAGUCGAGCGGACAGAAGGGAGCUUGCUCCCGGAAGUUAGCGGCGGACGGGUGAGUAACACGUGGGCAACCUACCCUGUAGAUCGGGAUAACAUCGAGAAAUCGGUGCUAAUACCGGAUAAUCAUUUGAAGUGCAUGCUUCGAAUGUAAAAGAUGGCUCCGGCUAUCACUACGGGAUGGGCCCGCGGCGCAUUAGCUAGUUGGUAAGGUAAUGGCUUACCAAGGCAACGAUGCGAAGCCGACCUGAGGGGGUGAUCGGCCACACUGAGACUGAGACACGGCCCAGACUCCUACGGGAGGCAGCAGUAGGGAAUCUUCCGAAAUGGACGAAAGUCGGACGGAGCAACGCCGCGUGAGUGAUGAAGGUUUUCGGAUCGUAAAGCUCUGUUGUUAGGGAAGAACAAGUGCCGUUUGAAUAAGGCGGCACCUUGACGGUACCUAACCAGAAAGCCACGGCUAACUACGUGCCAGCCGCCGCAGUAAAAC
rnacentral:rRNA from 1 species